rnacentral:misc_RNA from 1 species
AAAGUCGUAACAAGGUUUCCGUAGGUGAACCUGCGGAAGGAUCAUUACAGAAUAAACAUGAUGAGUUGUUGCUGGUCCAGUCUCCUGGGCAAGUGCACGCUUUUCAUUUUUAUCUUUCCACCAUGUGCACAUCGCAUAGGUCUGAACAUUUAAUCAGAGUUCGCUUUGGUUGUCUAGAAUCUGCUAUUGAAAAAAUGGCUUUUUCUGAGCUCAGUGCCUAUGAUUUAUUAUAUACACCAAUGUAUGUCAAAGAACGUUAUACUAGGCCCAUGAAGCCUAUACAUUUAUAAUACAACUUUCAGCAACGGAUCUCUUGGCUCUC